rnacentral:lncRNA from 1 species
CGUCUCUCGCAGCCAAGAUGUCCGUUUCAGCAGGCACGUGUUGGAGCUGCACCAGUUGCGAACCAGGAUCAAGAACACGCCUGUGACCAAUCUUUGAGUUAAGCAUCUCGCAAACGAAUACGGUCAAUUCCAUAGGGAGGAUAGAAUGAACGGCUUGUAAUUCCUUCAGCUUUGGUCUCAACCACGUGAAUGUACCUUUGGUGGAGUAUAUAGAAUGGACAAAAUGUCGAUAAAACAUUACACACCCCUCUGGUCCGCACGAAUUGUUCAAAACAGAAUACAUGGGAAUCAUUUCGCGUCUCCAUUUGAAUGUUCAUUCACUUAUAACUCGGAGUGUCCACAGUCAUCAAUCACAAAUUCGGGGUGGCCCCCAGAAUAAGCUGCGACUCUUCUCCCCUCGCUAUUGCCGCGGGACGUCUAAGCAGGAUAACGGGCAUACACUGGACUUUAGAACUCCGGACGUCAUUGGGCGCAUCCUCAGGUGAAUACUGGCAAACAUAUACGAAGGCAUCAACAACAACCUGUUUGGCUUUUUGCCGUCUCACGCCAGACUCUUCAGAGCCAGGACGCCUAUCCGAUGGACAACGCCGGCCCCGAGAGCAGCUGCGUUUCACUAGCGCCGGCUUCAGGAUUUGACCAUGUCUCAUUAGGGUUGGUUUGAAGAGGAACCGACAAGCGGUAAAACUGGAUAAAAGUGAGUUUCCUUCUGCGCGGUAGGGCGAUGACCAGGGAACUGUUGUUUUCUUUGCUGCCCGGAAAAGUACCCGCUCACAACUGCUUCCAUCUGAAACCGUAGGACAACAGUCAGUAUCGUCGAUCGACAUGACUCCUUCGUCCUGCUUCCCGUGUUUCAGACGAGAAUGCCGAGCUCUUUUGGCACUUUUAGGUGUAGGGUAGCUUCUGUGCAUCGCGUAAGCACAACCGGACACGUCCGGGAAUGAUAGAGAGACAUCAUUUCCCCCGAAGUCCGUCUGGGCGUCUAAGGAAGUUCUUGAAAUCCUCCUUUGAGAAGCCAUUCCCUCAGGACGAUGCCGUCGUGACGGUAGUGGACCGAAACAACCAAAGCUACGCUUGUCCAGUUCUGUAUCUAUCUGCCCGGUAAGUCCUGCCGAUCUAGAUUGCCGACUCCUGAUGUGUAUCCGCCGACUUGCUUUGCAUUCCGGAGCCGCCAGCUUUCCUUGGGCCUGCGACAUACAUGUCAAGUCCAAGAUUUGGUAUGCUGGCGUUUGCAUCUUCGCGGAAGCUCGCUGUCACGCAGUGUUCGGUGGGACUGCUACACGUCACUUCAACUCCAACGAUAUUGUGCCAUUUACGUUAAUUCACCUGCCUGCAAAAACGGACAUGACCAGCUUGUUACAACGAUGCUGCACUGAGAGCAGGGAAUGCAGCAGCAAAUGCUGCUCAUCUUACCGUUUCUCGCAGGCCCACCAUGGUACCAGAAAGGCCAAGCUUGCGGAGGAGUUUACCCAGGCGGCUGCACUGAGAUUCUGCGGCACGGCCGAGGCCGUCGACGAUCAAGAGCUUGUCACUCAUGUUUGCAUGGAAUUGGAGCCACGACAGCACUCUCAAUCCUUUUAAGAAAAAUUAGGAGGGGCCGGUGCCUCACAGAGAACAACUAGAUAGCUGCGGCUACUCUAACCGCUAAAUCGUUUUUGCCCGCAUGAGGAUUCCUUAUCUUCGGAUGAUCAAUGCCCGGGCUUUUCCCAUACCCCGCCUUUCUCCGUAGGAUCGACACUGGUAACAAAUUAAGAAAAUGAUAGCGGGUGGAGACGCAGUGCAGAUGCAAGUCCGACCACUGCAGGGUAGCAGACAGGCGUGUACACCUCAGCGAGCUGUGCGCGCCAUCUCAGUUCUCAACCGGCUUUGAAAUUCAUACCUCUAGAUGAAUACGAGCCUGUUGAUGCAUGAACAGUGACUGUUCUUUAUUGGAGGCAGAGGUAAGCUCACUUCUUGUCAGAUGUGGAAGUGCUGGCGGCCACGGGCAAACCAGGAAAAACAAAUUGUGCUUCCAGAGGUGGACUGGAGUUGCAGCAGUCUUCUCCCAGCGUCUGCUUGGGCUUGGCAUGCAGAUUGUUGACUAAAGGCGGUGGUCCAUUUUCCCAGUAUCCGAC